GACGAACGCUGGCGGCGUGCCUAAUACAUGCAAGUUGAGCGCUGAAGGUUGGUACUUGUACCAACUGGAUGAGCAGCGAACGGGUGAGUAACGCGUGGGGAAUCUGCCUUUGAGCGGGGGACAACAUUUGGAAACGAAUGCUAAUACCGCAUAAAAACUUUAAACACAAGUUUUAAGAUUGAAAGAUGCAAUUGCAUCACCCAAAGAUGAUCCCGCGUUGUAUUAGCUAGUUGGUGAGGUAAAGGCUCACCAAGGCGAAGAUACAUAGCCGGCCUGAGAGGGGGGUCGGCCACAUUGGGACUGGAGCACGGCCCAAACUCCUACGGGAGGGAGCAGUAGGGGAUCUUCGGCAAUGGGGGAAAGUCUGACCGGGCAACGGCGCGGGAGUGAAUAAGGGUUUCGGAUCGUAAAACUCUGUUGAUAAAGAAGAACGUUGGUGGGAGUGGAAAGCGCAUCAAGUGACGGUAACUACCCAGAAAGGGACGGCUAACUACGUG
rnacentral:rRNA from 1 species